UGCAUGGAAGAUGACUUGCUGAACCAGAGGCUGUGUCAGGAUUACAAGACCAUUAACAUUUGGAUGUGCACAGGGAACGAAACCUCAGACUCAUCAGUGAAUGACAUGCUGCAGAUGUUGGCUGCACCAGUCCAAGAAGAGUAAAUGUGAAAGUUGCUCACUGCUGGACUGGACCUUCCAGAAGACUCUAAGAGGCACCCAUAGCACCAUAACAGGCCAGAGUCAACCUAUUUCCUUGCCCGAUAAUGCUACUGCAGACUCCACAGCCACUGCCUGCAAGAGCCUUUCUCCCUUAAACAACACAGAGCCAGACGGCAACAGUUCGAUUCACAGAGCAAAAGAGAAAAAUCUUCUCAGGAUUGGAGGCUCCUAGGUGAGCAACUACAACAACUGAUCCAAAUGUUUCCCUUGCAUCAUGCGAUCAGUGAGAAUGUGUGUUUUCAUUUGCAUUUUCACCCUUUGGUUUUCUGCAUCUGGUAAAUACUGGCAAAGUAAAUGUUAAGAUGUCAGCUCUCUCUUCUAGAAAUGACUGACAGCCCCUAAGUGCUCUGGGCUUUUUAUAACCAAUGUGACUGACAGCUUUUAAGUGGAAGCAGUUCAUGCAACUUUCAAAUGUUAGUUGUCUGCACGAAUAACGUGGAAUAUUGGCUUUUCUUGUAUCUACCUAAUGGUAUUUCCUUCUGCGUCGGCAGAAGCUCGAAACCUUAAGUUGUUACAGGGAAAAAAAGUCUGUGUUCUCAGCUCUGCACAUUUCUAAAGCUCUCAGGCUAACAAAAGGAAAAGUAAACUCAUGCCUAUAUUUUAAGUUCUCGCAUUUCAAAGCAGCGUAGCAGCAAGUCAUUUUUCUUCACAUCAGGCUUGGCUAAGAGAUGGCAUUGGCUUGUACAGUAACAUUUCUACUUAAUCAUUUUCAAGCAGCCUGCACCAAAAACUUUCAAGAAAUCCAAAAGUAUUAUUAUCCCAUUAAUGCACCCAAUGAAGGCAGUUGGCAACCAUGGUACUGAGUCCAGUAUCUCUCUAACUGACAUUCUAACAAUUAAGGCAAACAGAUGCCCUAAAUAUUAUACAUAACAUUGAAGGUAAAUACCAGAAAUGCACAUGCUACUUCACAAAUAAAGGAGGAAAAAUUAGCAGUGUCAUCUACAGGUUUGCAUUUCAUAUCCAAGUACAGGUGAAAGACAAAACAGUGCAGUUAGUGCACCAACAACUGGUAAUUUAGGUGCAUUUAUUUUAAAUUGCAACAGAUGAGGAAUUUAAGUGCUGUUAAUAUGCACGUUUCAACAGGGUUGGUAAGAGUAUUUCAACUUGUAACAAUUUUUCCAGCAUACUACAGGAAAAAAGUCAGCCUGCUUUCCCUAGAAAAUUCAAGGUCCUUUUGCACCUGGCCUCUGUGACAGAGAUCAGGUGAAGGAGCCCUCCUUUGACUCUUCCAUGUCUCAGCACCGCUAACAACCAUUCUCCAAAAGAAAAUGCCCAUGCACUGCCCAACAGCAAGGGACAGACAGACUGAGCAUCCAGGGCACGAACCAGCCAGCCAGACUAAAAAUGUGCAGACGCAAAAAAUACCAGAUAUACAGUAUGACAGAAACACAGACCUACUCUUCGGUUCCCCAAGAUUUUCUCUUUGUUGAGCUGGAUGUGAGCCUAGAAACAACCUUGGGUGCUCAGGGAGGCAAAGCUCUAGAGUCACUGAAGAUGACUGGUGGGGCACAAUCAAGGUUUUACAAUGCCAUCACCAUAAAAAGAUCAGUGAGCAGUCAUUAGGAUAUGGAACAGACCAUUCAAAACUUGUAAGGAACGCAUUCCUGUUAGCAUAGGACCUUUGUUUGGUUCUCCAUGAAAGAGAAACCAGUUCCACAUUAAGUAAUAAUCCACCUCACUUUCUUGGAUGCAAUGCAAGUUUUUUGUAUUUGCCUUUCCUUGUUCAGUUACAUGACAUCAACAACUCAUGCUUUUUUUUUUUUUAAAGGAAUUUAAGUGGUGAUCAUUUAUUAACUGUACAACAUAAUCUACCUCAGAGAGUACUACAAUUUCCUCUUCUUCUCAACUUCUCAUUUUUCUCAACUUUAAUGCAGUUCUGUAAGAUUUUCCGCUCUCCAGAGGACAGACAAUAAUCAGGUUAGAUUGGUAUCUUUAUAACACUGACCUUAAAGUUCACUUCAUUUUCCCUCCCAUCCUCCCCAGCCUUCUUUAAGUUCUUUCUGAUCCACUUUCUACUGUUGAAUGUCCCUAAAAAGAGAAACUGGAAGCAGAUGUAUCAUUUUACCUCAAAAUUUAUCUGUGUGAAAAAUAAAUAAAUCAUUGCACAUCAAAUAAAUAAAAUUACUUUAA